AGGAGGUAUUGAAGAUGGCAGUAGGGUUGCACUUCAUCUGCAGCUCCAGGGUUUUUAUCCUCCUCUUGGACAUCACUGGAAUACAGAGAGCUUUGUAGCAUAGGGGAAGGCUCACAGGAGGCAAAUAUUCCUAAUGGGGGAAAGUAUUGCUGUUUUGGGAGAUGUACCUCAAGCAUGCUGUUUUCAGGGUACAAGAGGAGUGCACUUGCUGAUCAAGCUGUAACUUAUGGCAUUGUUUUGUAAAGCUAAAUAUUUAGUGUGGCAAUCCAGAAUGCAUCUCCUUGGCCUGCGAUCAGCCAAGAGGGCGUCAGUGGAGAAGCACUGCUCCUUGCCAGCAGCCAUCCUCCUUCUCUUCCCUCAGAAAUCCUGGGUCUGUAUCCUGGAAAUGCAGAAAUCCACCCCAAAUCUUCAAGCACUUGCCCGUGGGCUCAGCUCAAGCCCACAAAUCGUCCAUUAAUGCGGAGUGUACGCAGACAGCCCUGUUUGGCAGGUCAAGGUAGAACAAGGUAACAUUUUUUAGACCAGUAGUUCAUUUGUCACAAUUGUCUCAAAUGACUUGAAACAAUUUAUUGAUGUGCUCUAAAUCUCUGGGGAAAUGUCCUUUUCUGCUGUUCCCCGAAUCAAAACUUUUCUUGCAGUAGUUAUUCAUUAAAAUUUGGUUUUUAUUCAAGGAGACCCUUUUGAAAAUUAAAAUCAAUUGAAAUUGAUAUUCAUGUAAAGUUUUCUUUGUGCUUAUUGUUUUCUUGGUUUAUUUUUGUGAGCAAACAGCAUAGUUUAUAUUUAAUUUAAAAUAUUUUGUGCAAAUCAAACAUUUUUUAAUGUGCAUUUAAUGGAGGCAUUGAGAUACAGACAGAACCUUUCUGGUCUCGUGGCUUGGUGGUACAGCAAUGGCUUUUAUCAUCUGACCCUCACUCUCUGGAGGUGCAAUUCCAGGGAACAGGAUUUGGGAAUAUAUUCUUUUCUUUCCAUAUUUAUGCAAAUAUCUUCUUACAGGGAGGAGGAAACACUUGACAAAAAAAUAAAUGUAAGUCACACUUGAUAAAACACAUGCUUUUGUGCUUUAAUAAAAUACUAGAUAUAGUGGUGAUAAUAAAGAUAGCAUUUAAUUUGUUUCGUUGUGGGAAGGGGAGGGGAUGCAACUGGUG